rnacentral:rRNA from 1 species
UACGUAGGGGGCAAGCGUUGUCCGGAAUUACUGGGCGUAAAGCGUGCGCAGGCGGUUUUGUAAGUCUGUCGUGAAAGCCCCGGGCUCAACCUGGGAAUUGCGAUGGAGACUGCAAGGCUUGAAUCUGGCAGAGGGGGGUAGAAUUCCACGUGUAGCAGUGAAAUGCGUAGAGAUGUGGAGGAACACCGAUGGCGAAGGCAGCCCCCUGGGUCAAGAUUGACGCUCAUGCACGAAAGCGUGGGGAGCAAACAGG